ACAGAGGGUGCGAGCGUUGUUCGGAAUUACUGGGCGUAAAGCGCGCGCAGGCGGCCGUUUAAGUCCACUGGUCAAACGCCGGGGCUCAACCCCGUGCUCGCCAGGGAUACUGGACGGCUGGAGACAUGUAGAGGCGAGCGGAAUUCCGGGUGUAGCGGUGGAAUGCGUAGAGAUCCGGAAGAACACCGGAGGCGAAGGCGGCUCGCUGGGCAUGAUCUGACGCUGAGGCGCGAAAGCGUGGGGAGCGAACAGGA
rnacentral:rRNA from 1 species